GUUUGGUAAAUUUUAAUUGAAAGAGAGGAUAAAAAGAGGGAAGAGAAGAAAAUUGGUGGAGGAGAAGGUGACCCGUGAUGGUUGCGGUGGUGGACACGAUGGCUCAUGGCGGCGUGCGGUAGAAAAGGGGAGAGGAAACUAAAAGAAAAAGAUAGGGAAUGUUGGUUGUGGACAGUGGUGAGGUGGUGGUGCAAAUAAACUUACGGUGGUUGAAAGAAAAUGGUGGUGGUUGUGGCGGCAAAAAAGAGAGAAAAAUGAGGGGAAGAAAAUGAAAAAAAUGGAGACUAGGGUGCAAAUAGGGGUGAUGGAUGGUACAAGGGGUGGUGUAGCUUGGUCAACAUGACCAAGUUCAAUGCACCACAAGCUUAUGGCAAGAGAAGAGCUUUUGGCAAGGGAGUGAGACAAAGAGGGAAAAGGGGGAUGUGUUUCAUUUUCAAAUGGC
rnacentral:lncRNA from 1 species